AUUGAACGCUGGCGGCAGGCCUAACACAUGCAAGUCGAACGGUAACAGGAAGAAGCUUGCUUCUUUGCUGACGAGUGGCGGACGGGUGAGUAAUGUCUGGGAAACUGCCUGAUGGAGGGGGAUAACUACUGGAAACGGUAGCUAAUACCGCAUAACGUCGCAAGACCAAAAAGGGGGACCUUCGGGCCUCUUGCCAUCGGAUGUGCCCAGAUGGGAUUAGCUAGUAGGUGGGGUAACGGCUCACCUAGGCGACGAUCCCUAGCUGGUCUGAGAGGAUGACAAGCCACACUGGAACUGAGACACGGUCCAGACUCCUACGGGAGGCAGCAGUGGGGAAUAUUGUACAAUGGGCGCAAGCCUGAUGCAGCCAUGCCGCGUGUAUGAAGAAGGCCUUCGGGUUGUAAAGUACUUUCAGCGGGGAGGAAGGGAGUAAAGUUAAUACCUUUGCUCAUUGACGUUACCCGCAGAAGAAGCACCGGCUAACUCCGU
rnacentral:rRNA from 1 species